GGAGAGCCUGGCAGCCAAACGCCGCAGCACCGCAAUGUCCUCCAGGAGCUUCUGGUAGGCUUCCCUGUGCUCAUAGUGGUGCCACAGGGAACAGAAGGAAGAGCAGCAAAAUAUUCUCAACGUUUUUGUUUACCAGAAGCAAUUAAUUUGAAAAUGGAGAUUUGGAAUUCCAGAUGAAAAGAUGUGAAGAUCACAA